rnacentral:lncRNA from 1 species
GCAAGGCACCGGGCAGUAGGAGAAGUGGGGCACCAAGCUGGAAUUCAUUUUAUUUUCUCCUGUCCCCACCAGUCCCCUUCUCCCGCCCCCAAAAUGGGGGAGGGGAGAAGAUGUUGAUUUCUUAAACUUCCAGGGAGGAGGAGCGAGAAAACCCUAACUAAGGAGAGUACAAACAAUGGCUGCUAAACUAAUUAAUGUAACUUCACAGGCUGUUCUGGAAGUGUGAAAACUUUCUCCUUGCAGUUGUAUUAAUUAGAGAUGCUCUGGCCAGAGGAGUUCAAUUUUGCAGGCUCUUGAACGAUACUCCUUUUUUUCUGUUAACUAGAAGUAGCAGAUGUAGUUGACACAUGUCCCCAUUUCCCUUAGCAGCUUGGUAAAUGAUAUUUAAGGUGGAUAGGUCUGUGCUAAAGCGAAAGUGAGGGUCCACCAAACAUCCCUAGUGUCCGGCCACCAAGGCUCAAAAAUACGUACAAAGUUAGCCCAUUCGACCCCCAACUCCUAAAGAAGGCUCCAGGGCCUGGUAACCUCUCAGUCCAGGUGGGCCAGGUUAUCAGGACUACAGGUGGAAGAGUUCUGCUGCGCAAUUCCAAAGGGACAAGGAAAAAAGUUAGACAGCUGUUCUUAUGUCUUUACGACUUUGGGGAACAAUGCUGUUUUAAAAUAUCUUAAAAUCAAACUCUUAAGCAGAGAGCACAUGUUUGCACACACAGGGUCUUAGGCACGUUCACCCUUGUCCCCCCCAGAACAGAAAUCCCGCACUAUCCUCCCUACACACAGCCUCCGGAAACUUCUGUGAUUCUAAGAAUAGAAGCGCAUAAUUAAUAUUUUAUGGCCUUGGCUCAUGGAAACAACCCCAAAAUAUUUCCCCCUCCCCUCAGUUGGGACUUGAGGAAAUCCAGACCCGAGGGCCUGCUUCCCCAGAGGGUCCGCACGCGACAGACAGCGCCGAAUACUGAC